rnacentral:ncRNA from 1 species
GAGAAGUUUUAUUCUUGCUUUUUCAUUCAUUUUUUGUUUGUUCUAUAUGUGAGUUUGUGCGUGAUUUUAUUUUGGCUCUAAAUGGGUUGGAGUUGCUUUUUAUUUUCAUUAGUUAUUAUUGGUUAAUCAAGUGUUCUUGUAUUUAGCAAUACAUUUAGUUUCGGUUAAAUUUUGUGCCAGCAACCGCGGUUAUACCUUGGAAGCGUUUGAAUGUGAUUGGUAUUAAAGGUAGUAAUAUUAUCUAUUAGUUUUAUUUUGUUUGUAAUUAUUUUUAGGUGAAAUUUUUAUUUUUGUUUAUUUAUGUUUUUUAUAUUUUGAUUCUAUGAAAUUCUAUUUUUAAACUAGGAUUAGAUACCCUAUUAUUUAGAAUGUUAAUUUUUGUGCCAGAGUAGUAUUAGUUGUGUUCUUGAAACUUAAAGAAUUUGGCGGUAUCUCAUUCCGUUCAGAGGAAUCUGUCCCAUUAUCGAUAGUCCACGUUGGACCUUACUUAGUUGAAUUUGGUUUGUAUACCGCCGUUUAUUGAUCAUCUUCUUAGAGUUAUAUUAAUUUUCUUGUUUCUUUAUUUUGAUGUAUUUCAGGUCAAGGUGCAGCUUGUUUCUAAGUGGGAAUGAUGGAUUACAUUGUUAUUUGUUUUAUGGAUUGUCGGUUUUAAUAUUGGCAUGAAAUUGGAUUUGGUUGUAAUAAUUUGUAGACUAUUAUUAUGAUAAUUGGUUCUGAGAUAUGUACACAUCGCCCGUCGCUCUCGUUUUAUUAUAAUGAGAUAAGUCGUAACAAAGUGGUUGUACCGGAAGGUGCGGCUGGAUUGAU